rnacentral:tRNA from 1 species
GCCUCUGUAGCCAAGCGGUAAGGCAGUGGACUUUUAAUCCAAAGAUCGUGGGUUCGAAUCCCACCGGGGGCA